CCUACAAAGACAAGCCUGAAUAACCAAAGUUCAAAGAGAAGGCUCCGCCACAACUGCGCCAACCUAUAUCUAUCUAUAUCUAUAUCUAUACUACUAUUAAUCUAUACUACUAUUAAAAGAGCAAAUAUAAACUCUCCUAACUCCACACAACAAAGUGUACACGGGAUAACCAGAACCCUCUGAUUAAAUCAACUUAAACACAUCCUACCAUUCAUAUUGCGCCGAUAGUCUGCCAUCCAAAUCAACGUUCCAGAUCGAAUGUUCCGCCGAGCAGACGCGCAAUGGUCUGCCAAUUUUCUUCCUCCGCGUUCCCGAUCCCCGCCCUCGAUUCCGUAAUUUCCGGAUAGAUUCCACGGGAAUCGUGGCUCCCCGAUUGUUUUUCCUUUAGGCCCCGGAUCAGAAAGAACGGAUCCGCAGCAACCUUGCGCCGCCAAGGAGUGGGUGAUAGCAGCGGUGGAAGAGGGCGUGGGUACCAAGGGGCCGACGACGACGACGGUCGUGGCCGAGGACGGGCCAAACAAGGCGGCGGCCGUGAGGGUGGAGGCCGCGCCCGUGGCUACAAAGGGGUUCGUGAUGGCGGACGCGGCUGAGGCUAUCAACAGGGCGGCAACGACUACGGCGGCCGCGGUGGGCGCAACAACUACAGCGGCCGCGGCCGGGCCAGAGUCAACCGCCCCGGACAUGCAUCAAGCCACGGGGCCUCCCCUCUCCGAGCGCUACCACGCAGAGGCGGCUCAGCUCCGGGAGAAGUUCCACGCGAUGGACAUCAGCCGUGUGGCUGUAGAUCCAACCGACCGGCGAUGGAGCAGCUGUCAGCGUUCCUCCGCGCGGCACCAGGUUCCGUUGCACCUCCUCCAUUGUGCUCUCCCUGCCCCGCGGUCCCUACCAGAAGCCUUGCCAGCCGCAGUCUCCCAGAUCCUCCUCUCUACGCGUCUCUGCUUCCCGUGCGACGUCGCCGGCUUCACGAUCUCCACCACGAUGGGCGUCACGAGCCCAAGGGAGCGCGUCGAGACCAUGGCGAUAAUGCUUCCCUUCCUACCGUCGUUGCCGCGUUCCGCCAAUUGCGGCAGGAAGCCAUGGCGCAGGCAGAGAAGUCGCCUGUCGAGUAGGCGGCUUCAGCUGCAACACCGGAUAAGUGACCCCUCCGUCAUAAGAUGAGGUUCUUCAGUUACACACCUGCAGCUUAAACAAAAUUCAUUUCUAUUUUUGCAGAUUUUGAAUUCAGUGUAGUAGAGAACACCCACAAAAUCUUCACAAGGAUUCAUGAACUCACUUUCCAAUGGAAGAAAUGUGAUGUUCAAUUAGCAUUAACCCGAUUGAUCUCUUGCCUGGGGAAGGGGAGACUGAGGGGGAAAUGGCGACCAAGAGGAGCGUGGGCACCCUGGGCGACAAGGACCUCAGGGGGAAGAAGGUGUUCCUUCGUGCCGAUCUGAACAUUCUGCUGGACGACAGCCAGAACAUCACCGACGACAAUUGCAUCCGCGCCUCCGUGUUGUCCAUCAAGUUCCUCAUGGCGAAGGGUGCCAAGGCCAUCCUGGCCAACCAUCUGGUGAGCACGCGCUUCUCGAUUUGUGUCUAUGGCGUUUUACUGACGAAUUUGUGCCGCUUGAGCUUAGAGUGUCAGAUGGGGGACUUGCUGUCAGUCCUCUGUUCAUCCACUAAUCUCUUGGGAGUGAAGGGAAGAAGAAAGAAAAUACUUUCAGCUAAUAGUUGUAUGUUCCGUAGCCUGUUAGCAUUGUGCUUAAAAAUCAUAGUAACAAAAAUAGUGAGGAUUAACUUAGAAUUGCAUUUUCUUUGAUUGUUUGUUACCUUUCUACUCAGAAACAUACAGAACAGAGUCCGCUGUGCAGUUCAUGUCAAUUGCUUUUGUAUAUGUCGAUUAGUCAUUACAGUAAUUUGUAAAACAGUUUGUUCAAAUGGCUCCUGCCGCUUGCCAUGCCUCACCCGCCGGCCCGUUCGCCACUAGCCUCGGCCCCCGCCCACUCGCCUCUCCUGUGGCAUACGGUGCCCGACCCGGCUCUGUUUGUCUGCCUCCCUCGUGUUACUCGUCAGUCGGCCCCGCCAUUCAGCCUAUCGCGUGGCACAUGGCUGUAGCCGCUUGAUGUCGGGAGCAACACCACGGGAUGGCCCUGCCGCACCUUCAUCGCAGAGUCACCGGCUUAGGAUCAUAGGGAAAAGUGUGGACUAUGGAUUCAUACCAGAACUGGAUUGGCCAUGGCACAUCUUCACCAACGAGUCAUGGUGUCGGCAACAAAAUUCAAGAUUUCCCGUUUCCUUCAUUUUCAAGCAUCUCUCUUAAAGGCAAUGUAUGCAGGUUCAUCAUUCAUGCGAGGGAUAUGAAAGGUGAAACAAAAGUAAAAGGUGUUUAUCAUAAUUGUAAAGGAGUGUCGUGUCGAUUUUAUAAGUCCAUUAGUAUCCUACUACUCGCAGUUUUUGUAGUUCAAUCAAAUAGUACAAUUUUCAAAUGAUAUUUGUUAUGGUUAGAUAUAAAUAUUUUAACAUUUUGAGGUUCCGUGAGAUGA